AACAAUAUCGCAUUGAUAUAGGUACGAAUCCGAAUCUUUUGGAAGGAAAAUAUAGGCUCUCCAUGCCCUAUACUCCCACAGAACGUUACCCACAGAGCGGGUAGUAAUCAGAAAUAUCUGAGCUUGGGUAUAUGGAGAAACCCAUCCCCUUGGUAUAUAAUCCACGCUUUAUGGA
rnacentral:ribozyme from 1 species